GGUGGCAUAGCCAAGUGGUAAGGCGUAGGUCUGCAAAACCUUGAUCGUCGGUUCAAAUCCGACUGUCACCU
rnacentral:tRNA from 2 species